UUAACGGGCAAAUUUUGUUACCGUUUUGAAACUCACAACACACCCUUCAUCCUCCUCCAGCCCCCAGCCUCGGUUUUCUUCUUCUUCAGGUAGCUGCUUGUAGGGCAACUCUGCAAGAGAUAUAUGAGUCAUCACUUCUAUUACAUGUGGUGGAUAUUAGCCAUCCACUGGCAGAGCAACAGAU